GGUGACGUCAUAAAGAGUGCGCUGGUUCUCGCUCGCCGUGAAUGGAACGAUUUUUUUGAAGAACGAGAUUACUUUCCAAUUAUUUCAGGUCUUUUCCUGUAGUCCUUUACGUCAAACAAACAUAUCACACAAUCUUCAGUGGAGCCAUUUCCUCCCCAAUUCAUCUUAAUACAGCAGACAUCACAUCCGCCGUCACACUCACAACACAUUCUGCUUCUCUACUAUUCUGGCCUGCUGUUGUGGAUGAUGGAGUGUGUUUAAAGUGGAGAGUGAUGCGCAAUGAGAGCUGAGGAUACUGAGAAACAAAGAGAACAAGAAAGGUGACGACUGCAACCAAACGCAAGAUGAACAUAAGGCCCUACACCUGCUCUUCAGCGUGAAAAGAGUUUUGUCAGUAAAAUAAAUCUUAACGCUCUAAGGCUCUAUAGCUGCCUUCAGUGUGGAAACACUUACAGGAAUAUUUAGUAAGUCACACUGCUAAGAGGCCCUUCACAUGCCCUUAGCGUGGUAAAAGUUUUUUACAAAAAGGAUAGCGUCCCAUCUAAAAUGCAUUCAGAGAGACGCAUACGAGUUCACACUGGAGAGAGACAUUUUGAGUGCCCUCAGUGUGAGAAGACUUUUACACAACGAGGACAUUUUAACUAUCACAUACGGAUUCAUACAGGAGAGAAACCUUUCUCAUGCCCUCAGUGUGAAAAAUGUUUUACACAAAAAAGAAAUCUUAGGGAUCAUAUACGAAUUCAUACAGGUGAGAGGCCUUUCCCAUGCCCUCGGUGUGAAAAGAGUUUCAAACGUGAAAGUCAUCUUAAGGAUCACAUACGAAUUCAUACAGGAGAAAAGCCUUUCUCGUGCCACCUGUGUGAAAAGAGUUUUACACAUAAGCAAAGCCUUAAUUAUCAUACGAGUCAUCAUCACACUAGUGAAGGGCCUUAAAUCUUCCCAAGUUUCAGACAAACACACAACUCACAACAGACUCAAAGAAAAGUGCUGAACAAAGACCGACUUCAGCCUUUAGGUCCAAGCAUGUGUUUUUUAAUUACUCCCAAAAUAUUGAGUGGUGAAGUUUCAGGAUGUUUGUUUAAAAAUUGAGUGUAUUGAAAAAUGUCAUGUUUAUACCUUUUUUGUUUUUAGAUCUUUUCUUUUUGUUUACUAGGCGGUUAGCUUUUUUCAGAUUAAUAGGCUGCAUGCGUGUAGCAAAACUUAUAAUAUUUGUGUUGACAUACUGCUACUACAGUUUUAUUACAGUAUUCUUUAUUCCCUUAUUUUUUAUGUCCGUUUAUAUCUUUCAUUUACAUUUUUGUAAACGUUUUAAUAAAUAUUGCUUUGUUGUCUUAACUAUAAACUUUAAUUUGUGUUGUCCACGUGAUUGUUUAAUUUAUUAGAGUUAUUAGUGGCUACUUUGUCUGAAAGGUUACAAGCUAUCGUAAUAUUCAUAUGUUGGCAGCAUUUGAUUCUGAAUAUUACCUUAAUGGAAUAUACUUUUUAUGUAGCUCAGUUUUAUUAAUUGAUAAAUAAGUUGUCGUUAAAAAAAGAUAGAGACAUA